CUGACAGCAAGCUUUCUAACUCAGAAUGAUUCAUGUAAGACACCUGAAAGGCAAGCUCUGCACCAGCAUCACUGCAAGAAAGAUUGAACAAUGCAGCAAUCAAGCCUGAUAAGCCACCUGGAAGUUUUGCUUGAGACGAUUUCUAAUGGGUUUUCUGAUCCCUCUGAGCAUCAUGACUGCCUUUAGCAUUGUGGAGGAGGACUCGAGUUUCUUAUGAGGGCCCCACUUGGAAAAGCAGGCUGUGCAGAUUCAAGCCUCCGGUUCUGUUCAUGCUGUUCAAAAGCCUUUCCUCACCCUUGCUGAUUUGUUUUUAUGAUUUACAUACACUCCUGUGGAGAUUUACAGAAUGGAUUGUCUGUGCAUUGUCACGACCAAGCAGAGCCAUGGCAGAUGCCCAUCCCACAAAUGCUCAGUCGAAACACCUGCCUGGAUACCCAUUCAGCACUCUACCGUAAGUUUGAGCCUUUUAAUCCAAAGCUUUGAGAGACUGAAUGGUAAGUCUCUGUGUUUGGAGCAGCCCUGUCAGGUAAAAUUUCAAUACUAAGCGCAUUUGAGAAAGAACAGAAACGAGUCCUGAUGCCAGACCAAACUCCGUGGGAAGCCUGAGCUGUUGAAAUGUUGGGUAUGGGCUUAGCAGGGCUUCUUCAAAAGUUCAUGCUCUUCCGAAAUUUAAUUCUUUCCACGUGGAGCAACGGGGCAGGCGUGGCAUAGUUGUUGGUGGUGUCCAUCUCAGGGGGAGCGUGGAGUUACUGCUGAUUGCUCCAACUGUGCUCCAGCUGCGUGUGAUGACUAGCAGCCUGCUAGUUUUGCCCUAUCAUGGGCACAGUUUGUGGGAAUUCAUUCAUAAGCUCCUGCAGGGUCUGCCAGAAAUAACUGAUGUUUAAAGCACCAGCCUGUCCCCAGGCUCAGGUGGUGACACAAGGAAAGGGGGAUGCAGCUUUUCUUUUCCAUG
rnacentral:lncRNA from 1 species